AGAGUUUGAUCCUGGCUCAGAUUGAACGCUGGCGGCAUGCUUUACACAUGCAAGUCGAACGGUAACAGGGGCUUCGGCCCGCUGACGAGUGGCGAACGGGUGAGUAAUGUAUCGGAACGUGCCCAGUAGUGGGGGAUAACUACUCGAAAGAGUGGCUAAUACCGCAUGAGAACUGAGGUUGAAAGCGGGGGACCUUCGGGCCUCGCGCUACUGGAGCGGCUGAUAUCAGAUUAGGUAGUUGGUGGGGUAAGAGCCUACCAAGCCUGCGAUCUGUAGCUGGUCUGAGAGGACGACCAGCCACACUGGGACUGAGACACGGCCCAGACUCCUACGGGAGGCAGCAGUGGGGAAUUUUGGACAAUGGGCGCAAGCCUGAUCCAGCAAUGCCGCGUGCAGGACGAAGGCCUUCGGGUUGUAAACUGCUUUUGUACAGAACGAAAAGGCUUCUUCUAAUACAGGAGGCCCAUGACGGUACUGUAAGAAUAAGCACCGGCUAACUACGUGCCAGCAGCCGCGGUAAUACGUAGGGUGCAAGCGUUAAUCGGAAUUACUGGGCGUAAAGCGUGCGCAGGCGGUUUUGUAAGACAGAGGUGAAAUCCCCGGGCUCAACCUGGGAACUGCCUUUGUGACUGCAAGGCUGGAGUGCGGCAGAGGGGGAUGGAAUUCCGCGUGUAGCAGUGAAAUGCGUAGAUAUGCGGAGGAACACCGAUGGCGAAGGCAAUCCCCUGGGCCUGCACUGACGCUCAUGCACGAAAGCGUGGGGAGCAAACAGGAUUAGAUACCCUAGUAGUCCACGCCCUAAACGAUGUCAACUGGUUGUUGGGGAUUUGCUUUCUCAGUAACGAAGCUACGCGUGAAGUUGACCGCCUGGGGAGUAAGGCCGCCAGGUU
rnacentral:rRNA from 1 species